AAACUACUACUAUUACUACUACUAUUACUCCUAUAUAUUUUACCCCCGUGUGUACUAUUGUCGACACCCUGACCUACUAAAAAAAUCGAACCAGAUCGGUUCGAUGUGUGCCUGAAAAAUGUUGUGCGUUUGUGCGACGUAUCGUGGUGUAAGCUGACUAACGAUGACGGCGACGAUACAAGUUUUGCAGUUAUAUAAAACACGUACAGCACGAGACAAUUACAUACUUAUGGCGUUGUUACAAAUAAAAACUCAUACAGUGGUUGGUGAACUGGCAAGUCGUCAUCAAUUGAAUACAAUAUAUACUAGUAAGAGGAGAUAUUCGAUUAAAGUCAACACCCGAAGAAUAUAUUAUUAAUACUGUUUUUUCUAAAAAAAUAUGAAAUGUUAUUCUAUACACCACGAAUCUUCAGUCGUAUACUAUUUCUAUGAUGAUAUAAAGGAAAAUUAAAAUAUAGUACUAUAACAUAUAA